GUCCUUGUAGCGCAGUGAAUAGUGCAUUGGACUUCUAAUCCAAAAGUCGUGGGUUCGAAUCGCACCUAGGAUG